UACGUAGGGUGCGAGCGUUAAUCGGAAUUACUGGGCGUAAAGCGUGCGUAGGCGGUCCGCGAAGUCUGAUGUGAAAGCCCCGGGCUCAACCUGGGAACUGCAUUGGAAACUAACGGGCUCGAGUGUGGCAGAGGGGGUGGAAUUCCACGUGUAGCAGUGAAAUGCGUAGAGAUGUGGAGGAACACCGAUGGCGAAGGCAGCCCCCUGGGCUAACACUGACGCCUCAGGCACGAAAGCGUGGGAGCAAACAGG
rnacentral:rRNA from 1 species